rnacentral:rRNA from 1 species
AGAGUUUGAUCAUGGCUCAGAUUGAACGCUGGCGGCAGGCCUAACACAUGCAAGUCGAGCGGAUGAAGGGAGCUUGCUCCUGGAUUCAGCGGCGGACGGGUGAGUAAUGCCUAGGAAUCUGCCUGGUAGUGGGGGAUAACGUCCGGAAACGGGCGCUAAUACCGCAUACGUCCUGAGGGAGAAAGUGGGGGAUCUUCGGACCUCACGCUAUCAGAUGAGCCUAGGUCGGAUUAGCUAGUUGGUGGGGUAAAGGCCUACUAAGGCGACGAUCCGUAACUGGUCUGAGAGGAUGAUCAGUCACACUGGAACUGAGACACGGUCCAGACUCCUACGGGAGGCAGCAGUGGGGAAUAUUGGACAAUGGGCGAAAGCCUGAUCCAGCCAUGCCGCGUGUGUGAAGAAGGUCUUCGGAUUGUAAAGCACUUUAAGUUGGGAGGAAGGGCAGUAAGUUAAUACCUUGCUGUUUUGACGUUACCAACAGAAUAAGCACCGGCUAACUUCGUGCCAGCAGCCGCGGUAAUACGAAGGGUGCAAGCGUUAAUCGGAAUUACUGGGCGUAAAGCGCGCGUAGGUGGUUCAGCAAGUUGGAUGUGAAAUCCCCGGGCUCAACCUGGGAACUGCAUCCAAAACUACUGAGCUAGAGUACGGUAGAGGGUGGUGGAAUUUCCUGUGUAGCGGUGAAAUGCGUAGAUAUAGGAAGGAACACCAGUGGCGAAGGCGACCACCUGGACUGAUACUGACACUGAGGUGCGAAAGCGUGGGGAGCAAACAGGGUUAGAUACCCUGGUAGUCCACGCCGUAAACGAUGUCGACUAGCCGUUGGGAUCCUUGAGAUCUUAGUGGCGCAGCUAACGCGAUAAGUCGACCGCCUGGGGAGUACGGCCGCAAGGUUAAAACUCAAAUGAAUUGACGGGGGCCCGCACAAGCGGUGGAGCAUGUGGUUUAAUUCGAAGCAACGCGAAGAACCUUACCUGGCCUUGACAUGCUGAGAACUUUCCAGAGAUGGAUUGGUGCCUUCGGGAACUCAGACACAGGUGCUGCAUGGCUGUCGUCAGCUCGUGUCGUGAGAUGUUGGGUUAAGUCCCGUAACGAGCGCAACCCUUGUCCUUAGUUACCAGCACCUCGGGUGGGCACUCUAAGGAGACUGCCGGUGACAAACCGGAGGAAGGUGGGGAUGACGUCAAGUCAUCAUGGCCCUUACGGCCAGGGCUACACACGUGCUACAAUGGUCGGUACAAAGGGUUGCCAAGCCGCGAGGUGGAGCUAAUCCCAUAAAACCGAUCGUAGUCCGGAUCGCAGUCUGCAACUCGACUGCGUGAAGUCGGAAUCGCUAGUAAUCGUGAAUCAGAAUGUCACGGUGAAUACGUUCCCGGGCCUUGUACACACCGCCCGUCACACCAUGGGAGUGGGUUGCUCCAGAAGUAGCUAGUCUAACCGCAAGGGGGACGGUUACCACGGAGUGAUUCAUGACUGGGGUGAAGUCGUAACAAGGUA